rnacentral:rRNA from 1 species
UACGGAGGAUGCAAGCGUUAUCCGGGAUUAUUGGGCGUAAAGCGUCCGUAGGUGGCUAAUCAAGUCUGCUGUCAAAGCGUGGAGCUUAACUCCAUAUCGGCGGUGGAAACUGAUGAGCUAGAGUGCGAUAGGGGUAGCAGGAAUUCCCAGUGUAGCGGUGAAAUGCGUAGAGAUUGGGAAGAACACCAGCGGCGAAAGCGUGCUACUGGGUCUGCACUGACACUGAGGGACGAAAGCUAGGGGAGCGAAAGGG